GCUGGCGGCGUGCUUAACACAUGCAAGUCGAACGAGAAAUCUUUAGCUCGCUAGAGAAAGUAAAGUGGCGCACGGGUGAGUAACGCGUGGGUAAUCUGCCUCCGAAUCGGGGAUAACAUUGCGAAAGCGAUGCUAAUACCGGAUAAAAUCUGGUUGGCUUCGGUGAACCGGAUCAAAGGUGGUCUCUUUAUAAAAGCUACCGUUUGGAGAUGAGCUCGCGUACCAUUAGCUAGUUGGUGAGGUAAAGGCUCACCAAGGCGACGAUGGUUAGCUGGUCUGAGAGGAUGAUCAGCCACACCGGAACUGGAACACGGUCCGGACUCCUACGGGAGGCAGCAGUGAGGAAUUUUGCGCAAUGGGGGAAACCCUGACGCAGCAACGCCGCGUGAGUGAUGAAGGCUUUCGGGUCGUAAAGCUCUGUCAGGUGGGAAGAACCCACCAAGUGUUAAGACCACUUGGUGCUGACGGUACCACCGAAGGAAGCACCGGCUAACUCCGUGCCAGCAGCCGCGGUAAUACGGGGGGUGCGAGCGUUAUUCGGAAUCAUUGGGCGUAAAGGGCGCGCAGGCGGUUUUGUAAGUCAGAUGUGAAAUCCCGGGGCUUAACCCCGGAAGUGCAUAUGAAACUAUGAGACUUGAGUAUGGGAGAGGGAAGCGGAAUUCCUGGUGUAGCGGUGAAAUGCGUAGAUAUCAGGAGGAACACCGGUGGCGAAGGCGGCUUCCUGGACCAAUACUGACGCUGAGGCGCGAAGGCGUGGGGAGCGAACAGGAUUAGAUACCCUGGUAGUCCACGCAGUAAACGUUGAUCACUAGGUGUAGCGGGUAUUGACCCCUGCUGUGCCGGAGUUAACGCAUUAAGUGAUCCGCCUGGGGAGUACGAUCGCAAGAAUGAAACUCAAAGGAAUUGACGGGGGUCCGCACAAGCGGUGGAGUAUGUGGUUUAAUUCGAUGAUACGCGAGGGACCUUACCUGGGCUCGAAUGGUUAGUGCAACUGUGAGAAAUCACGGGUUCCUUCGGGACGCUAAUCAAGGUGCUGCAUGGUUGUCGUCAGCUCGUGCCGUGAGGUGUUGGGUUAAGUCCCGCAACGAGCGCAACCCCUGGGUUUAGUUACCAGCACGUAGUGGUGGGGACUCUAGACCGACUGCCGGCGUAAGCCGCGAGGAAGGUGGGGAUGACGUCAAAUCAUCAUGGCCUUUAUGUCCAGGGCUACACACGUGCUACAAUGGUCAGUACAGAGGGUAGCGAAGCCGCGAGGUGGAGCCAAUCUUUANAAGCUGAUCGUAGUUCGGAUUGGAGUCUGCAACUCGACUCCAUGAAGUUGGAUCGCUAGUAAUCGCGCAUCAGCCAUGGCGCGUGAUACGUUCCCGG
rnacentral:rRNA from 1 species